CAAGCCAGGUUGGACAGUCCUGCUGCGGGCUGGGCCCCUUCCCCCCUCCCUGGGCCGCCCACUGGCCCCCCGCAUCGGCUCUGGUCUGGCCGGGCCGGGCCCCAGCAGUUGCCGGGCAGGAAGGAGGGGGAGGCUGCAGAGCACUGGCUGUAGCAGGGCUGGUCACGGCUGUAAAGGUCUUACCGUCAGACACCCUCCACCAGCGCAGCUGAGACCAGAGACCCCUGCAGCCCGUGCAGAAAACCAAAAACCAACCAUGAGAUCGAUCCUUACACAGCCCAGGCGCAGCCCUGCCACAGGUUACCAGCAGGUCAGGAGAGUGAACCUCGUUUUUCACACUAUAAAAGACAAAAGCCAGAAGGAGUUAUUCUUCAAUAUGUAGAUGACAUCCUGAUUGCAGCCAGAACGAGAGAUGACUGUGUAUGACUUACUGUAAGUCUGUUAAACUACUUGCGACUGAGUGGGACAGAGUUUCUAGAGACAAGGAACAGAUUGCUAAAGAAGCAGUAGUUUACUUGGAGCAUGAGAUCUGUGGACAUCAGCAGCUCAGCAAAGAACAGAAAGAAACCAUCUGUUGACUCCCAGCGCCCCAUGCCGUAAGAAAGAUGCAGUCUUUCCUGAGAAAGAUGCAGCUUUAUGAAAAAUGGCAGAAGGAUGACAGGCUAUGCAGUGACCACUCAAGAUAAGGUGAUCAAGGCAAAGGUCCUGCCAGCAGAUGUGUCAUCACAGAAAGCUGAAUUGAUUGCACUGACGAGAGCCCGAGACCUGAGCAAAGGAAAGAAUAUAAAUAUAUGGACUGACUCUAAAUAUGCAUUUAGUGUUGUCCAUGCCCAUGGAGCCAUCUGGGAGGAGAGAGGACUUCUGAACAAUCAAGCUUGGAACCAAGGACAACUGAUCCAAAUUUCAUGCCCAAGAGCAUAAACAACGUGGACUGAAGAGAGAAGAACAAGAAGGAUAACACUUCAUAACUUAAAGCUAUAAUUGGACAAUUAACUUCAAUAUGCUAAUGGACCAGAACUUCUAAAAGUGAGAGACAUCAUGACCAUUC